rnacentral:pre_miRNA from 1 species
UUGUUACUCCCUCCGUUCCAUAAUUCUUGUCGAAAUAUUACAUGUAUCUAGACGCUUUUUAAGAAUAGAUACAUCCAUAUUUGGGCAAAUUUGAGACAAGAAUUAUGGAACGGAGGGAGUAGCAU